ensembl:lncRNA
AAAUCAUCUAAAUAAGGGGAUACUGUGUAGCCUGGUGGACAGCACACAGACUGUCAACCAAAGGACAUUAUAUCAAAUUCCCCCCAGGCGUUCAACAACUCAUAUCUUUGCUAGUUUCUCUCCGAGUUGCAUCUGGGGGUGUCAGCACCACCUCAGAGUGAUGUUGUGCAGGAACAAGAAAAAUGCUGUGCUGACUACUUCAUGACCACUGAACAGAUGAGCCACAGUUCAACUCCUGGGUCUCAGUCAGACACGACCUCUCCAGGGAGUCUCCGAAUCUGCACCGUCUAGCUAAGAACUCAUCGCCAGCCUCCCCCCAGGUCACUCUCCAUCCCACGGAACUGCUCUCCUUCCUUCACAGCACCUACUGCUGUCUGAGGAGAUCUUUGUCUUUUGCUGUGUUUGCCGCCUGACUCCACACUCAGGAAGGUAAUGAAAUAUGGUGGAACUUGGGAGCCUCUCAGAAAAGUGGAGACAUUCAUGGGAAGAAAUAUGCAAAACAUGAUAAUCCUUUGGACUGUUGUUCUUAUAAAAUAUAGCUAUCUCUUUCAGACAGCAACAACAAUUAGUCAUGAGUUACACAUUCUUUUUAAGAUAUAUCAGAGUCCAUUUAAAGUUCCAAAAUGUAAUACUCAGCACAGAAAUAGAGUAACAGAUGUUAUAACCAAAUUAGGGGUUCUUCCCAGACAUCUUUUAUUGACAUUAGAGUGGUACAGAGGCACAUUAAAGCCUUUGAAUAAAGUGCUACACUCUCAACCU